UUUGGCAAGAGCUUUUUAUUUUUCUGUUUCAUUUACCUUUUAGUCCGGUAGCGUUCUAAAUAUUCCGAGUUUAUUUGUUUUUUAAUCGAACUCAACAAUUUAUUUUUAUGCAGUACCCAAAUGUAGGGAUUUUGAAUGCAUAACUGUGGACACCUUGAGGUCCUCGCGCGCACGGAAUAUAAAAGCCGCCAUGUUGGUCGUGUGCGUCUUUUCCUCGUCCGCGGUGUGGGAUAUGCAGUGUAACCGGAUGGUCACCCAGGAGGACUGAAGGUGAUGACGAUGAGGCACAAAUGAAGACUCAGGAGAAACGGCAGUCAGUCAAAAUCUUGCAUCAUUUAAAUAUGAAUCUUUUAAAUGUGUAACUGAAGUGUAGGACAUGUAAGUAGUCACUAGGGGGCGCCAUCAUUUAUUCCAGUUUUAUAAUAUUGUGGUUGGAUUUGAGAUUUCACAGGCUUACUGCUUCAUUUAUAAUAAACAUUGGAAGUGAAAUGUUUUAAAUUUAUAAAAAUAAAUGUUUAUUUAAAGAC